rnacentral:rRNA from 1 species
AUGAACGCUAGAAAUAUGCUUAACACAUGCAAGUUAAAUAAAAUGAGUAUUAAAAUUAUUUUAUAGCGAACGGGUGCGUAAUAUAUGAGAAUCUACCUAAAAAUUUGGCAUAAUAGAAAUUCCAAAUAAUACAUAAAGAUUAAUAUUCGUUUUUAGAUGAGCUCAUAUAAGAUUAGGUAGUUGGUGUAGGUAAUGGCUUACCAAGCCAAUGAUCUUUAGCUGGUCUGAAAGGACGACCAAGCCACAUUGGAACUGAGAUAAGGUCUAAACUCUUUAAUGUGAGGCUGCAGUGAGGAAUCUUGGACAAUGAGCGAAAGCUUGAUCCAGCAAUAUUUCAUGAGUGAGUAGACAGUUGUGAGGCUGUAAAACUCUUUUGGUAAUAAAUUAAUAAUGAUAUGAUUUACAGUAAUAAGUCCCGGCAAACGAGCACAGU